rnacentral:lncRNA from 1 species
AAAGGAGGUAGACCUCACUCAGAUUUUCAGCAGUGCAGAAUGGAUAAUGAUCGAGAUUUAUUCUUCAUUCUAAAAUACCCUUUAACAAAAGUUACACAUCGCAUAAAUGUCUCCUGCUCCUAUCCUAUUAAGCUUAAAGGUGUGAGAGAUAAAGAAGAGCCUACAAAGAAGAUGAAGAAAUCAUUAGACAGAAAAAACAAUCUUAAUGACUUUGUUCU